AUGAAGGGAAUGAAGAAGAGUUUUGUAACGAAGGCAUCGCAAAAGGAAAUGUUCUGCGAUUCAGAUAAGGUGAAUAACCAGCUAAAAGCAAAAUGUGCAAAACUUGGUAAAUAUCAUUACGGUCCUUUUUAUUUUAAUACCUAAUUUUUAUUAAAAUUGUAUACUUCUUUUGGCAGAACUUGAGAACGAGGAGCUAACUAAGUUCCUGCAAGAGCUAAGAGCAGAUAUCUCACAAUUAAAAACAGAUGUAUCAACAAUAAAAAAUAGUACGGCAACCCAAGGUGUGAUUCUCGAAAAACUUGUUCAGAAGGUCUUACCAAAAACAUCAAAUUUAACCAUUUUGCCGUUCAAAACGAUUGAAGAGAUUAAGUCUGCAGACAACAUUUUAUCGCAGUAUCCUCGGGACGAAUUGGUGGCAUACGUACGCAAUACCGUAGGUGUUACUCCGAUAAGAAAAAUUGUUCCUUUCUUAUUUGCUGAAUCUACUAUGCCUUUCAUUAAUUGGGAUGGUCGUCACCAAAGAUUUGCAAUCAAAUCUCUUCAAUUUUUCAACGAAAUAGUUUUUCGUGCAGUUCAAGGUCCCGAUAUGGAUUUCUCCAAAUUUGACAGUGAAAUGCGGAAGGGGAUCCGAUCCGCGAAAAACAAAAUGUAUAAAAACAAAUCCAACCAGUCUUAAUUAUUUUCGAAGCAUAUCUUAAUCUACCAUAAUUUAUUUUGUAUGUAAGACUCAACCUUCAUCACAUUUUUUUACCAUUUUUAAGUUAACCAUUUAUGAACGUUAAUGUAACGUAAUGAAAACUUCCUUAUUUUAAAAUGAA